rnacentral:rRNA from 1 species
UACCGAGGUCCCGAGCGUUGUUCGGAUUCACUGGGCGUAAAGGGUGCGUAGGUGGCGUGGUAAGUUUGAUGUGAAAGCUCAGGGCUUAACCCUGAAAUGGCAUUGAAUACUACUAUGCUGGAGGUUUGGAGGGGGGACUGGAAUUCUUGGUGUAGCAGUGAAAUGCGUAGAUAUCAAGAGGAACACCAGUGGCGAAGGCGAGUCCCUGGACAACACCUGACACUGAGGCACGAAAGCUAGGGGAGCAAACAGG